UGAAUUGGAUUUGCUGUAUUACCCAACAGCAUCCACCUGGACAGUGUAUUUAUCCUCUGGCACAGGAACCUUCAGGACAUUAAACUUCUUCUCAAAGUCAUCUACCAAACCAGCCUUUGCCACAUUGGCCUAUGUAAGCCCAAUCGAUAGCAGGUGGUUUCUCAGGAAGAGUAGCCAACCUGGAGACCUACCUACCAAUCACUUAGCAAAAGGUCUUCCUCACCUGAAACAAGCUGGUGUGGAAUGGCUGGUGGCCCUGUUCAAAGUCCCUGAUAAUUUCUUCACCUACACAAGUGGUCAAGGAGUAAACCUUCCUAUGAGCAUGUAAAAUGGCAGCUCUCUGCAGAUUCCUAUUAUGGUGCCAAAGGAAAUACAAAGGAUGGAAGAACAUGUUAAAUGGUACGUAGUUGAUACAAUCCACCAAAUCCAGAGCAUGGUAAAGUAUACGGGGGAAAAAUGACCAGCAUUCUUUAGUAAAUUCAUUUCUUGGAGGAAAAAAGG